rnacentral:rRNA from 1 species
AAUGAACGUUGGCGGCGUGGAUUAGGCAUGCAAGUCGCACGAGAAACUAAUUAGCUUGCUAAGAGGUGGACAGUGGCGAAAGGGAGAGUAACGCGUGGUUACAUGCCCUCGAGACCGGGAUAGUGUUGGGAAACUGGCAGUAAUACCGGAUAACAUCUUCGGAUCAAAUGGUGUGAUUCCGCUCGAGGAUUGGACUGCGUACUAUUAGCUUGUUGGUGAGGUAAUGGCUCACCAAGGCUUCGAUGGUUACCGGGUGUGAGAGCAUGGCCCGGCUCACUGGGACUGAGACACUGCCCAGACAUCUACGGAUGGCUGCAGUCGAGAAUCUUCGGCAAUGGACGAAAGUCUGACCGAGCGACGCCGCGUGCGGGAUGAAGGCCCUCGGGUUGUAAACCGCUGUCAGUAGUUAGGAAAUCUAUGGGGGUUCUCCCCUGUAGUUGACCGAUCUUCAGAGGAAGGACGGGCUAAGUUCG